UGGAGGUAGUGACAAUAAAUCACAAUGCGGGACUAUCAGUCUUGCAAUUGGAUUGAGAACAAUGUACAACUCUUAUCGAUAAGCCAUUGGAGGGCAAGUCUGGUGCCAGCAGCCGCGGUAAUUCCAGCUCCAAUAGCGUAUAUUAACGUUGUUGCAGUUAAAAAGCUCGUAGUUGAAGUGUGGGUGAUCGCUAUUGUGAGACUUCGGUCUCUCGACAGUAAGUCACCCCCUUCCAGUAUCCAGUAGUGGGUAUUCAGUUACUUACUAUUGUGUGUUGGUCCUUUACUGUGAGAAAAUUAGAGUGUUCAAAGCAGGCGUUUGCUUGAAUAGAUUAGCAUGGAAUAAUAAUUGAAGGCUUUCGUGUUCGAUUUGAUUGGUUUGUUCAUGGAAGCAAGGUUAAAAGGAACAGUUGGGGGUAUUCAUAUUCACUAGUUAGAGGUGAAAUUCUCGGAUUUAUGGAAGAUGAACAAGUGCGAAAGCAACU
rnacentral:rRNA from 1 species